GGAGUUGUGGCUCGGUGGUAGAGCGCUUGCCUAGCACGUGCGGGGCCCUGGGUUCGAUUCCCAGCACCA
rnacentral:tRNA from 1 species